AGGAGACAUGGCUUCAGCAAAGGUGCAAAUCAUCAAGCUGCUCCUCAUUAGUUUGGUGUCUUUAGAGCUGCAAGAACUUGCAAAACCGACAAAGCAACGAUGGACGGCAGUUCAUGGGCACCACUUCAGCUUUAACAUAAAGCCACAUGGAGGUUCAUUAUCCAGAGCCAUAUCAUCUAGCGUUGAGGAGGGUGGUUUGAUUCUGUCCAGGGAGUGAAGCAGCGAAGACCAUAGAGACUAACUGUCAGAUCCAAACACUGUCUGACCCAAGGUGCAGGUAUACUGCUGAAGGAUCCUGGCAUUUACUAAAGGAG